UACGGAGGGGGCUAGCGUUGUUCGGAAUUACUGGGCGUAAAGGGCGCGUAGGCGGCGCGAUAAGUUGGGCGUGAAAGGCCCGGGCUCAACCCGGGGACUGCGCUUGAUACUGUCGCGCUGUGAGUCCGGGAGAGGAUGGCGGAAUUCCCAGUGUAGAGGUGAAAUUCGUAGAUAUCGGGAGGAACACCAGUGGCGAAGGCGGCCUUCUGGACGGACACUGACGCUGAGACGCGAAAGCGUGGGUAGCAAACAGG
rnacentral:rRNA from 1 species